CGUAAGAGUGACGCAGCGACGCCGCGUGAAUGACGAAGGCCUUCGGGUCGUAAAGUUCUUUCGACAGGGAAGAAAAUGCCUAUAAGUAACUGUGUAUGUAUUGACGGUACCUGUAUAAGCAGCCCCGGCUAACUCCGUGCCAGCAGCCGCGGUAAUACGGAGGGGGCGAGCGUUGUUCGGAGUGACUGGGCGUAAAGAGCACGUAGGCGGUGUUGUAAGUCAUUAGUCAAAGACUAGAGCUCAACUUUAGUAAGGCUAGUGAUACUAUAAUACUAGAGUAUCAGAGAGGAUUGCAGAAUUCCUGGUGUAGCGGUGAAAUGCGUAGAUAUCAGGAGGAAUACCGUUAGCGAAGGCGGCAAUCUGGCUGGAAACUGACGCUGAGGUGCGAAAGCGUGGGUAGCAAACAGGAUUAGAUACCCUGGUAGUCCACGCUGUAAACGAUGGAUGCUAGGUGUUGGGCUUUUAAGUUCA
rnacentral:rRNA from 1 species